rnacentral:rRNA from 1 species
CCCUUGGGGGGAUGCUUAUUAUAUGCAGGUCGAGCGAACGGAUAAGGAGCUUGCUCCUUUGAAGUUAGCGGCGGACGGGUGAGUAACACGUGGGUAACCUACCUAUAAGACUGGAAUAACUUCGGGAAACCGGAGCUAAUGCCGGAUAACAUAUAGAACCGCAUGGUUCUAUAGUGAAAGAUGGUUUUGCUAUCACUUAUAGAUGGACCCGCGCCGUAUUAGCUAGUUGGUAAGGUAAUGGCUUACCAAGGCGACGAUACGUAGCCGACCUGAGAGGGUGAUCGGCCACACUGGAACUGAGACACGGUCCAGACUCCUACGGGAGGCAGCAGUAGGGAAUCUUCCGCAAUGGGCGAAAGCCUGACGGAGCAACGCCGCGUGAGUGAUGAAGGUUUUCGGAUCGUAAAACUCUGUUAUUAGGGAAGAACAAAUGCGUAAGUAACUGUGCGCAUCUUGACGGUACCUAAUCAGAAAGCCACGGCUAACUACGUGCCAGCAGCCGCGGUAAUACGUAGGUGGCAAGCGUUAUCCGGAAUUAUUGGGCGUAAAGCGCGCGUAGGCGGUUUCUUAAGUCUGAUGUGAAAGCCCACGGCUCAACCGUGGAGGGUCAUUGGAAACUGGGAAACUUGAGUGCAGAAGAGGAAAGUGGAAUUCCAUGUGUAGCGGUGAAAUGCGCAGAGAUAUGGAGGAACACCAGUGGCGAAGGCGACUUUCUGGUCUGUAACUGACGCUGAUGUGCGAAAGCGUGGGGAUCAAACAGGAUUAGAUACCCUGGUAGUCCACGCCGUAAACGAUGAGUG